rnacentral:snoRNA from 1 species
GCCCUCUCAGGAUGGCACCUGGAGAGUUUCCAGUACUCUACCAGACUCGGCUACGGGAGGGAGAGUUAAGAAGAAGCCUACCCAGUCCAUUCCUAGCUUGGGCAGUGGCUAGUGAGUGGAUGGCAAUCUUCUACAAGU